GAUCCUGGCUCAGGAUGAACGCUGGCGGCGUGCCUAACACAUGCAAGUCGAACGAAGAUGCAUUUCAGAUCCCUUCGGGGUGACGAGAUGCAGACUUAGUGGCGGACGGGUGAGUAAUGUAUGAGCAACCUGCCUUCAAGAGGGGGGAAUAACAGUCGGAAACGACUGCUAAUACCGCAUAAUGAAGCGAAUUCGCAUGAAUUUGCUUUCAAAGGAGCAAUCCG
rnacentral:rRNA from 1 species